GUGUGUGUGUGUGUGUGUGUGUGUGUGUGCGUGUGUGCGUGUGCGUGCGUGCGUGCGUGCGCGAGCGUAAAAUACACAGAGCUACGCUAUGACCCUCAAUCAAAACAUUGUCUCUUACCGCCAUGUUUUCGGGGUUACAGGUAAAUGCUAUUACAAAGGCAUGGAAAUGGACCGCCAGAGCGCAGGGUUCUCAUCGCAAUGCACAUCGUAUUCUUGCGAUCCGGAUAGAAGAACGCUUACUGUGCGCGGGUGCCCGCCUCCUGCCGACUACAGAAGGACAUCUACAGAUCCCAAGGUUUAUCCGAACUGCUGCAACUGAAUUACCUAAAUGCAUGCUGGAACCAUUUCUCGACAGGUUCUUAUGUUCCAUUUCACCAGUCUACAGCCUGUUUGUAACGAAUAAAAAGCUAUCCUUAAUGAAGUUUGCAUGAUUCCCUUCUAAAUGGAUAUAGGCUUUCAAUAAAUUUGUUUGCCUGCAA